rnacentral:misc_RNA from 1 species
UUGAAGUUUCCGGUCUCCGUUGUUCGAAAUGAACUUCACUUACAUCUAAAUUCCUCUCAAGGCAUAGCCUAUAUUCAGCAUUACGCAAAGUAUAACCAGUCAUCAUUGAGGACACCAAUAACUUAGAAAGGGGAUCCCAAAAGGCUUCCACCAAUACAUGGAACUGAUCAGAGGGAAGUAGACCCAACAUGCCUGAAAUUGUCCUCUUCAUAGCAUCAACUGUAUCGGCGGGGACAUCUUUUUGGAUGAGACUAACAUCCAGAGGUUCUAUGUCUUGUAUCAAGUUUGAUAGAACUGACUUCUUUGACGUGCGGGAACGAGAUCGCCUGCCCUUGUCGAGCUCGUCGAAGGAGGAGGCGACGAAGACGAGCGCG